GGGUGAUUAGCUCAGUGGUAGAGCGCUUCGUUCACAUCGAAGAUGUCAGGAGUUCGAAUCUCUUAUCACCCACCA
rnacentral:tRNA from 77 species